rnacentral:rRNA from 1 species
CCUACGGGAGGCAGCAGUGGGGAAUAUUGGACAAUGGGGGCAACCCUGAUCCAGCGACGCCGCGUGAGUGAAGAAGUAUUUCGGUAUGUAAAGCUCUAUCAGCAGGGAAGAAAGAAAUGACGGUACCUGACUAAGAAGCCCCGGCUAACUACGUGCCAGCAGCCGCGGUAAUACGUAGGGGGCAAGCGUUAUCCGGAUUUACUGGGUGUAAAGGGGGCGUAGAUGGUUACGGAAGUCAGGAGUGAAAGGCGGGGGCCCAACCCCCGGACUGCUGUGGAAACUGUAUAACUGGAGUGCAGGAGAGGUAAGUGGAAUUCCUAGUGUAGCGGUGAAAUGCGUAGAUAUUAGGAGGAACACCAGUGGCGAAGGCGGCUUACUGGACUGUAACUGACGUUGAGGCACGAAAGCGUGGGGAGCAAACAGGAUUAGAUACCCGGGUAGUC